rnacentral:rRNA from 1 species
GACGAACGCUGGCGGCGUGCUUAACACAUGCAAGUCGAACGAAGUGGUGAACGGGGGAGUAAUACGUGAGUAACCUGCCCUCCUUUUUGGGAUAAGCCUUGGAAACGGGGUCUAAUACCGAAUAAAGGGGGAUGGGCUCGCGGCCUAUUAGCUUGUUGGUGGGGUGAUGGACUACCAAGGCGGUGACGGGUAGCCGGCCUGAGAGGGUGACAGGCCAAAUUGGAAAUGGGAUACGGUCCAGCCUGAUACGGGAGGCAGCAGUGGGGGAUAUUGGACAAAGGGCGAAAGCCGGAUGCAGCGACGCAGGGUGGGGGCUGAAGGGUUGCGGGUUGUAAACCGCUUUCGGUAUCGAAUGGGUAGGUGGAGAAGAAGCGCCGGCUAACUACGUGCCAGCAGCCGCGGUAAUUC